GACGAACGCUGGCGGCGUGCUUAACACAUGCAAGUCGAACGGAAAGGCCCUGCUUUUGUGGGGUGCUCGAGUGGCGAACGGGUGAGUAACACGUGAGUAACCUGCCCUUGACUUUGGGAUAACUUCAGGAAACUGGGGCUAAUACCGGAUAGGAGCUCCUGCUGCAUGGUGGGGGUUGGAAAGUUUCGGCGGUUGGGGAUGGACUCGCGGCUUAUCAGCUUGUUGGUGGGGUAGUGGCUUACCAAGGCUUUGACGGGUAGCCGGCCUGAGAGGGUGACCGGCCACAUUAGGACUGAGAUACGGCCCAGACUCCUACGGGAGGCAGCAGUGGGGAAUAUUGCACAAUGGGCGGAAGCCUGAUGCAGCAACGCCGCGUGCGGGAUGACGGCCUUCGGGUUGUAAACCGCUUUCGCCUGUGACGAAGAGUGAGUGACGGUAAUGGGUAAAGAAGCACCGGCUAACUACGUG
rnacentral:rRNA from 1 species